rnacentral:lncRNA from 1 species
CUGCUCAGUUAAGCUAAGGACUUUAUCUUAUCACAAGUAUUUCAUCUUGAGAAGUUGAAAUUGAGAAAAUGAAGAUCCACAGUGUGUUCCUGGUUUUUGCUCUUGUGACUCUGAUCAAUGCAACACCAGUACCAAACAGUGCUGCACAAAACCAAGCUCCUUCUACAGCUGCUGUAGAAGAUGAAGCUGCUCAGAAGUUCUUUGGUUUACUGGUAAAUGCUUUAUCACACCUGUUUGGAGAUCAAGCUGAUGAGAAACCUGCUGAAAAUCCAAAAAUGUGCUGGUGGAGACCCUUGUUCGGUCGUAGGAAGCCUGUUUUAGUGAAUUGCCUCUACUCACGCCUCCCCUUUUUACCAGUCUCCCUCAGAGGCUGAUGGUCACUGGAACCCUGCUCUCUGCAUGUCUUGCAGUGAGAUGGAGAUCACCAGGUCAACUCAAAUCAGAAGAUAUAGAUAUAGAUUUGAGAUUAUUGUAACAUGAUGAGAAAUGUAAAAGUUUAAAGUGGGGAAAUAAAGUAUUCAUCUUUAAUGCA